AAAAACGUUACUCAGCGCAAUACAUGGAUGCCUUUAGACUCUAUGCUCCGAUGAAGGACGUAGCCAGCUGCGAUAAGCCUCGGUGAGCCGCUAGGCAGGCGAUAUCAACCGGGGAUGUCCGAAUGAGGUAACUCUUCCACCGUUAUGGGUGGAAACGCGCACCGCUUUGCGGUACGCGAGGUCACUCCGCGAACUGAAACAUCUCACUACCGGAGGAAAAGAAAUCAAACAGAGAUUCCCUAAGUAGUGGCGAGCGAACAGGGAACAGCCCAAAGUACGCACCGCUCUGCGGUGCGUGCGGUUGCAGGACCUCAAUAUGUCAUUUUUCUUCUAUAGGCGAACGACCCUGGAACGGGCGGCCAUAGAGGGUGAGAGCCCCGUAGACGAAAUAGAAGAAAAAGACUCGAGGUUUCCUAAGUAGGGUCGGACACGUGAAAUCCGGCCUGAAUCCGGGUGGACCACCAUCCAAGGCUAAAUAGGCAUAGAGAUCGAUAGCGGAUAGUACCGUGAGGGAAAGGUGAAAAGCACCCCGGAAGGGGGAUGAAAUAGUCUCUGAAAUGUAUUGCGUACAAAUAAGUCGGAGCGCCCUGCUCUGCAUAGCGAAGAAAUUGAUCAUGAAACAUUGAUCAUUUCGCUCUGUGGAGCAGGGCGUGACGGCGUGCCUUUUGCAUAAUGAGCCAACGAGUUCGUCCUCAGUGGCAGGCUAAAGCAGAUUUAGCUGGAGCCAGAGCGAAAGCGAGUCCGAAUCCCGAAAGGGACCCCUUUGGGGCAGGGCGUCAAAGUCGCUGGGGCGAGACCCGAAACCGGGUGAGCUAUCCAUGGGCAGGGUGAAGGGCGCCGAAAGGCGUCUGGAGGCCCGAACCAUAACGUGUCGCAAGACGUUGGGAUGACCUGUGGAUUGGAGUGAAAAGCUUAUCGAACCCGGAGAUAGCUGGUUCUCCUCGAAAUGCCUUUAGGGGCAGCCUCGUCGCACACAUCAGGGGGUAGAGCUACUGUUUGGAUGCGGGAGUCUUUCUGACUUACCAAAUCCUGACAAACUCCGAAUACCUGACUCAAAGGCGACGGGAGUGAGACGGUGACAGCGAAGUGCCAUCGUCGAAAGGGAAAGAGCCCAGAUCAUUCGCUAAGGUCCCUAAAUACCGUUCAGUGGAAAAGGAAGUGCAAAUGCAUAGACAACCAGGAGGUUGGCUUAGAAGCAGCCAUCCUUUAAAGAAAGCGUAACAGCUCACUGGUCUACGCAUCUGUGCGCCGAAAAUGUAUCGGGGCGAAACGGUAUACCGAAGCGGUGAGUGUGACGAAGUCGCACAGAGUUGAAACUAUGAAUCUGGAUAAUUGAUACUUGAGAAGUAUUCCCUGAAGGAAUUUUCCUUUUAUCAAUGUUCAAUUUUGAAUGUUCAAUUCUGUGCGGCUCCGUCGCGCGGUAGAGGAGCGUUCCGUUCAGCAGCGAAGCCGCAUCGCGAGGUGCGGUGGAGCGGACGGAAGCGAGAAUGUUGGCAUGAGUAACUACUAGGCAGGUGAAAACCCUGCCCGCCGAAUCCCCAAGGUUUCCCACGCAACGUCAAUCGGCGUGGGGUUAGUCGGUCCUAAGGUCAGGCCGAAAGGCGUAGCCGAUGGACAACAGGUCAAUAUUCCUGUACCUCGUACAUAUCGUCAGAGGAUGAGAGUUGAGAGUUCCGUUAGCCUCUUGCCUGUACCACACUGUGUUUGUAGCGAAUAUAGUGUGGUAUAGGCAAUGUUCAUGGAAAAGGAUUCUUUCAUUCUAGGGGCGGCGUGACGGAGUGGGAAGAUUGGAGCGUGUGCAUUGAAUGCACGUGGAACAUGUAAAACGUUGAUUUCCGCAGGUAAAUCCGCGGGAAGAGUUGAGCAUGGAUCCCAAAUGUCCGCCUUCGGGCGGGUGAGUCCAUCCCUUUCUGUUUCCAAGAAAAUCGUCGCGCCCGAGAGAUGUACGAGACCGUACCGUAAACCAACACCGGUGGGGUGGUCGAGUAGACCAAGGCGAACGGGUGAUAUCGCGUUAAGGAACUCGGCAAUAAAGCGUCCGUAACUUCGGAAUAAGGACUGCCGUGCGAAAGCACGGUUGCAACAAAAGAGCUCAGGCGACUGUUUAUCAAAAACACAGGUCCCUGCCAAGCCGCAAGGCGCAGUAUAGGGGCUGAUGCCUGGCCAGUGCCAGAAGGUCACGGAAGGGGGUUUACGCUCCCGACUUAAGCCCUGGUGAACGCCGGCGAUAACUAUAAUCGUCCUAUGGUAGCGAAAUUCCUUGUCGGGUAAGUUCCGACCCGCACGAAUGGUAUAACGGUCUGAGCACUGUCUCGACGCGAUGCCCGGUGAAAUUUCAAUGGCGGUGCAAAUGCCGCCUUAAUCACGGAAAGACGAAAAGACCCUAUGAAGCUUUACUGCAUGCUGGUAUUGCAUUAUUAAUCUGUAUGUGCAGGAUAGGUGGGAGACUAUGAAGCGGGGGCGUUAGCCCUCGUGGAGUCAUCGUUGAGAUACCACCCUUGCAUUUUGAUGAUGCUCACCCGGCCCUUGUACACAAGGACUGGGAACAGUGCUUGCUGGGCAGUUUAACUGGGGCGGUUGCCUCCUAAAAUGUAACGGAGGCGCGCAAUGGUCGACUAACGCCGGAUGGAAAUCGGCGUGAUAGUGCAAUCGCAUACGUCGGCCUGACUGUGAGGCUCACAAGCCGAGCAGAGACGAAAGUCGGUGAUAGUGAUCCGGUAUCUAGAAACAUGCUUUACAGUGUGUUUCAUUCCACGUGGGUGGGAUAUCGCUCAACGGAUAAAAGUUACUCUAGGGAUAACAGGCUGAUCGCUUCCAAGCGCCCAUAGCGACGAAGCGGUUUGGCACCUCGAUGUCGGCUCAUCACAUCCUGGGGGUGAAGAAGCUCCCAAGGGUUCGGCUGUUCGCCGAUUAAAGUGGGCUCCCAAGGGUUCGGCUGUUCGCCGAUUAAAGUGG
rfam:Candidatus Peribacteria bacterium RIFCSPHIGHO2_02_FTLL_49_16 rifcsphigho2_02_scaffold_12336, whole genome shotgun sequence.